rnacentral:rRNA from 1 species
UGGGGAAUAUUGGACAAUGGGGGCAACCCUGAUCCAGCCAUGCCGCGUGUGUGAAGAAGGCCUUCGGGUUGUAAAGCACUUUCAGUGGUGAGGAAGGGUGUCAACGUUAAUACCUUUAUACAUUGACGUUAGCCACAGAAGAAGCACCGGCUAACUCCG